UACGUAGGGUGCGAGCGUUAAUCGGAAUUACUGGGCGUAAAGCGUGCGCAGGCGGUUCGUUGUGUCGGCGGUGAAAGCCCCGGGCUCAACCUGGGAAUGGCCGUUGAAACUGGCGAACUGGAGUGUGGCAGAGGGGGGUGGAAUUCCGCGUGUAGCAGUGAAAUGCGUAGAGAUGCGGAGGAACACCGAUGGCGAAGGCAGCCCCCUGGGCUAGCACUGACGCUCAGGCACGAAAGCGUGGGGAGCAAACAGG
rnacentral:rRNA from 1 species